rnacentral:rRNA from 1 species
GCAGCCGCCGCGGGAAUACGUAGGUGGCAAGCGUUGUCCGGAAUUAUUGGGCGUAAAGGGCUCGCAGGCGGUUUCUUAAGUCUGAUGUGAAAGCCCCCGGCUCAACCGGGGAGGGUCAUUGGAAACUGGGAAACUUGAGUGCAGAAGAGGAGAGUGGAAUUCCACGUGUAGCGGUGAAAUGCGUAGAGAUGUGGAGGAACACCAGUGGCGAAGGCGACUCUCUGGUCUGUAACUGACGCUGAGGAGCGAAAGCGUGGGGAGCGAACAGGAUUAGAUACCCGAGUAGUCCCUGUCUCUUAUAA